UGAAAGCUACUCAAGAGCAGCUAACUGAGCAAAUAGCAGAAACAGUUCGCCAAGAACAGAACAGUAGAAAAGCCCAGGCAGAGCUGAAGACAGUGACGGAAGGGAUUAUAGCUUCUGAAGAAGAAAAAAAUGAUUACAAAUAUCGCUGGAAAUUCAGUAGGAAAAGGUCUUUGCUUGAGGGAAAAAGAAUGCAUUCUAUUGAAUAAAAACUGUUACAAAACAUCUGUGUCCCAGGCUCCCUUCCAAGGUAGGACACACGGUGGAGUGCUACUGAUGCUGCCACUUUUGUCCUACUUCUUUCCCAGGGAAUCUUUUAUUAUAUCAUCUGUUACAACUUCAUUGCAAGAGGUAUGAAAGAAGAGGAAAAUUAAGUUGCUAAGUAUUUUAAAGCCAGACUGAAAUACUUAGCCCAGUUUCUAAGCAGUGGAACUAUUUCAUCAAAGGAAAUCUUUUUGUGUCCAAAAAAUAAAAUUAAAAGAACUGCAUUCAUUGAAGUAGAGUCCGUAAGCUCGGAAGCUGGAUCUCUUUCCCUCCCUCUGCCACUCCCUGUCCUGGAACCCACUGGCCUCCGCAGAAAGCGCUGGAGAUGAAAAGCACAUAUUGGAAAAACCCUCUCCAGAAGACCAUACGAUGAACAGCCAGAAGGACUACACAAAGGGAGACUGAAAAAUCAGAUCUGUGUUGGGGAGACAAUGAAGGCUAUGAAAACACUUAGGAAAUAAGAAAGUGGUUGCAGCAAAGGCAGAAGGAAAGGAUUUGAGAGAGAUUUAAAAGGCUGAUAUAUAGAUAGCCGGUUGGUUAGUUGGAAGAGCAAAAGGACACAGAUAACACAGGCUUCUUUUAACUUGAUGUGCCAGACAGACAUGAUUGUGUAGUUAACCAGUAGAAAGGAAAGGAACAUCAUUUUUGCAGAUGGAAGAAAAAAAAUCUUAAGUCGGCAUAUUGGGUUUGAAGAGUUUACAGGGUACGCCAGGCAGAGAUAGUCCGUUGCCAUUUGAAGUCAUGAGCUUUCUCACUGACUUGCUUACCAUAAUGAAAAAUUCAAGUACAUAACUUGACACUUUUUGAUCACUCCUCCAAUAAAUAAUUCUCUCCUUAGGGACGCCUAACCACCAAAGCUUUACCUCAUCCACACAAUAAUACAAUCGUUGGAAAAUAUAACAGCUAAUUCGGAUUCCUGAAAUUAAAUAUAGUGGUGGCCUUGCUUGUGGAAGGAUACUUAAUGGUUGGUGAUUUUAAUUUUAAAAAUAACGAAGGACUUUCUAAUAGUCGUAAAUGUCUUUCCAUCAAAGAGGUGACAAAUUCCCUAUUACUGGGACUUCAGUCUUAAUAAGGAUGCUUGUUUGGCGUGCAUGUUAGUCCAGGCACUCAGGCAUCUGGUAAGUGAUUGACUCCCAACUUGCAAGUUAUUUUGCAGAUUUUACUAUCUGUCAGUCUGUGAUCCUAUUAGUCCCAUUUGGGUUCUAAGCGGAAAUGUCCACAUACCAGAAAAACUAUCGUUUGAUUUCUAACUGUCCAUGUGUCUAAACUUGAACUUUGUCUGCUGUCUCAGCUCAUCCGUACACCAUCUUCCACAAAACAAAUAAGCAAGUAAAUAAGCCUAAACAUACCAAAGAAAACACAAUUUUUUUGUAGUGCUAUAUUUUAUUUGUCAUCAGGUGACAUUAUAAUUCAUCCAGUGACGAACUAGAAACAUGAGACUUAUCUUUAUCUACUCUUUCCCUCUAACUAUCUAACCUGUCAUAUUUCCUGAAGAUUUUACACUGUCCACCACUCCCUAACAAGGUCAGGGACUUCAUCUGCAGAUAAAAUUUGAGAUCCUCAGCAUGGCAAACAGAAGCCUUCAUGGUCUGAUCAAGUUUAAAAAGUUGAUCAAGUUUUUAAAAUUUUCCUCUAAGGACUUUUUUAUGCUACUUCAAUAUUUAAUAAAUCAUUAAAUUGUUAUAACUAUACAGUAGGUAUCUGUUUACCUCCAAGUAUUGUUACCUUUAAAGCAGCAUUUUAGAAAUAUAUAGAAAUAUAAUGCGAUCCACAUUGCAAUUUUAAAUUUUCUAGGAUUUAUGUUUAAAAAGGGGAAAAAGACCCAAGUGAACCUAAUUUUAAUAACACGUUUAACUCAUAUCAAAAGCUUAUUAUUUCAAAAUAUAAUCAAAAUAAGAGUUAUAUAUGAGACAUUUAAAAUUUUUUAUGCUAAGUCUUUAAAAUCUGGUAUGUAUUUUAUACUCACAACACAACUCAGUUUGGACUAGCUAAAUUUAAGUGCUCAGUAGCUACAUGUGACUAGUAGCUUCCAUGUCUACAGAGUAGCAACUGGAGAAGGCCAACAUUGGUUCACCAGCCAAAUCCAGUCCAAGGCCUGUUUUACUGUGGCCUGGGAGCUAAGAUGGAUUUUUUCCAUUUUUAAAUUGUUGGAAAAAGUGAGGAGAAGAAGAAUGCCUAUUGACACCUGAGAGCGUUAUGAAAGUCAAAUGUCAGAGUCCUUAAUAAAGAUUUUUUAGAGCAUAGACAUGCUUAUUCAUGUACAGAUUUUCUGUGGCAAAUUUUGUGUUAAAAUGGCAGUGUCAAUUAGUUUUGAGAGACUGUAUGACCCCAAAAGCUUAAAAUAUUUACCAUCUGACCCUUUGCAAAAAAAAGUUGCCCAAUUCUGCUUUCGAGGGUUCGCUCUGCUAGGACCAUGAUCACGCAUUAAUUAGCGUUCCACUCAGAACAUGGCUGACACACAAAAGAGACUCAGCAGUUUCAGAAUAGGAUAGAUUUUACAAACUCAAUUAAAUAAGCAUCUAUUGAACAACUACAAUCCUAACACACACCCCCUCUACCUAGAAAUCGUACCUCGGAUCUUUUCCAUUCCAGAACAUUGUGUCACCAAAACAGAAAAGUGACAAAACAUAGUCAAAAAUAGAAUUCUCAAUUCAGAUAGAUCUGGGUUCAAGCUCCAUUUUUGCCUCAUCUAUAAUCUUGAGUAAUUUGCUUACCUUCUGUAACCCUUUGUUCCAGUAUCUGUAAAACAGGGCAUGUAAAUACUUAACUUACAGGGUUGUUGCAAUAAUUAAAUGAGAUGAUGCAUAUAAUAAUAAAAUAGUGACUGAAGCAUGGUAAAUUUUCAACAAAAGUUAGCUGUUUUGGUGAAUGUAUCUAAAGCUUCCUAACUUAACUUACUCCUUUCAAUAUCUUUUAGUCUCUGCUCUUGAAGGAAGUGAUGCUUUAAUUAAUACAGUUUAUAAAAUUAUAAGUAUAUAUUUAUUUUAGCAAAUCCUAGAAAACUAUGUAGGUUGGUUAAAAAUAUUUUGGACACCAAAACACAUUACUAGAACAUUAUAAUUAGAUUAGUUUUUAAAUGUAUAUAAAUACAUACUCUAAAUAUAAAUGAAUAUCUUCAAGGGAACAAAGGGUAUUUAUGUAUAAGGAACAGGAAAGAAAUAUUACCUAGAAAGCUUUAACAAUUUUGGAAUCAGAAAUACACGUUUUAAUAAAGUACUAUAUAACUUUACCCUAGACCCAUAAAAUAUUUUUAGAUGACAAUCUAAAAACUAAUAAGCCAUGUUUAAAUGUAAUAAAAUAUUAUUAUAUUUAAUAUUAUAAAGUUAUUCAAAUUACAUAGUUCCAUUUAUGUUCCUGGUUGAAACGUUAACAUAGCUGAAAAUAAGUCUUUGGACAGUUCUGUUUAAUUUAGGUUUUAUGACUCCUUGGAGUGAAGAGAGGAAGAGUGUUGUAAUUUUCUGGCUGUGGAGAAUCAUUUGCUAUGGUAAACUGGAUAAAUGCUCAUGCUGCCUCUUGGGAGCGGGAUAGAAAAGAGUAGCUGGUUCUAUUCUGCUGAGACGCCAAGGUCUCCAUAUUCUUUCAAACUCACUGGCCUUAGAGGGAUCAUGAAUUGCUGAGGUAGAACAAUCCUGCCUCCUCUUUAUCUCUCAUCUACUGCCUUUGAAAUCAACUAGGGCUGCGUACUUGGAAGCAGCACAAAGGGUAAGGCUGGAAAUAAAAAUAUGGCCUAGGAUUUGUGAUGCUCAAGUGAUUGAGACUCAUUUCUCCAAUAGCUGCAGCACUGAAAUAUGCUGGACUUAUCACUGAUAUACUGCGGUUCAUGGCGCUCUAAUUCAUUUUACAGAAGUAAUCCUGCCCCGUUCUACCAUUACUCUUUGGAAUAGGGCUCACGCUUUGCUUUCAUUUUGAAAUAAUUCAUCAUUAAGUUCAUAAUAUCUGAUUUUAUCAAAUUAUGCAGAUACAGAAAGUGUCAAAGACUUCUUUGUGGGCAAAAGCAAAGUGACUAAAAACUCCUAUGAUAUGUAACGCUCACAUGUGAUAUAAAAUGCACGCCCAACCUGACGAACCUUUCUCUUCCUUCUUUUAAGCAGUUUCUGAAAUUCUACAUAUUUCUUUCCGGAAUAAUUAAAAAUGGGGAUAAACAAGUCCCUUAGCUUUUUAUUCAGCAUACAACAAAAUACACUUGUCCUUUCUUUUGUGUAAGACUGAUAUUUUAAAAUUAACAUUCUUAACAUCUGUUCAAUUUUAUGGAUGCACUAUCUACAUUGGUUUUGUAUAUAUCUUAGAGAGAGCACGAUCUGUGUCUGCUUAAUUUGUUUGAUCUUAAUAUCAAUUAAUUUUGUUUUGUAUUGGUGAGCUUUUCAUCAUCAAUUAUGAGGAUUCUGAUUUUACUAUUUCACCAAAAAGAAAAAAAAAGCCCUAACUAAAAUGAAUUCUAACAUUGGAAAAACAUAUAAGGAAUCCAGAAAAUAAUUAUCUCUAUGUAAUAUUUCACAGUGAAAUGUUAUGGAUUAUUACUGAAAUUAAUAUGUUGACUUCGCUUUUUUCCUCUUAAUUUGUAACACUGUGGCCCAUUUUGUUAGGUUUAUUUUAGGCAUCAAAAAUAGAUCUAAUUUUUUGAAACAUUUAUUACUAUAAAAUGGUACUAACAGCAAUAUCAUAUUGCUCUUAGAUUUUUUGGAUUUAGUGAUUCUCUCCUAAAAAAAAAUUAAUCAGAUGGAUUUAAAUGAGAGAAGCCAAUGAUUUAAUGAGGAGAGAAAGAAGAUAAAAUGUCCAAAAUUUAACUUUAAUCUAUAUUACUUAUAAACACAUGGUGUGUUAGAUUUUUGUACAUAAUUUCAGAUUUCAAAAAAAUACUCUGCAGUUUUUUCAAAAGCUGUCAUGGUGUAAUUAAUAUUUUAUUUAAGUGUAUAAUUAUUAACCAGUUUCAAUUCCAAACAAUGCACUCAUUUUGUUUCUUCCAAGUCUAGCUACACAUUGAGUAGUCUCUUAUUUUAAGUCAGACUCCUAUCACUAAUCAUGGAGGAACAAAGAUGUGUCCAAAUUUUGAAAGAACAUGGGUGUCCCAAAGCUCAGAUAAUGAAUUUUAGCUCUCUCUGGAGAAAAGCCUUUCCUGUAUGUAGUCUGGCAAUAUUCCAAGAUUUCUUUUUAAAAGUAACUCCAUAUGUGUACCGACAAUAAGCUAGUGAUGUUUUAAAUCAACUGGAAAGAGAGGCUGUUCUUUUCAAUAUUUUUUUCCUGCGCAUAACUUUGAAGUGCAGCAUUUGGGGAUUAUGAAGGUUUGGGUUACCUGCUGAAUGAAGGCAUGGAAAAUUAUUUGAAAGUACCCUUUUUUUGAAACUGUACUUUAAACUUAUGAAAUAUCACCUGUGGUUAAGAGGCGGUAUGCAAUUCAAAGCAUUUUUUUCAACCUAAAGACAAAGAGUUAAUUUUAAAUUGUGAUUACAUUUUCCAAGUUUUCUAUGGCUGCAAGAUCAUAAUCAAAAGUUUGUGGUUCACUUAUUUUAAAGGCAGAAGAUGAUGGGAACAAGUAAAUGCUAUUAAAUUAAAGAAAAUAUCGGUAAAUUUAUAAUGAGUUAGGUACUGUGAGUAAAAAUGAACAAAAGACCAGAGCUCACUAUGCUCUAGUGAUUGUCUCACAGCAGGCAUUGUAAGUGAUUUCAUUUUCAAAUAAAUUCAACUUGCGUCUAUUUCCCAGUAGUGUGUUCUGAA